rnacentral:rRNA from 1 species
UUGGAGGGCAAGUCUGGUGCCAGCAGCCGCGGUAAUUCCAGCUCCAAUAGCGUAUAUUAAAGUUGUUGCAGUUAAAAAGCUCGUAGUUGAAUUUCGGGAUUGACGUGAUGGUCAUGCCUUAAGGGGUAUGAACUGUUACUGUUGAUUUCUCACCUUCUGGAGAAACUUGAUGUCCUUUAUUGGGUGUCUUGCGGAUCCAGGACCUUUACCUUGAAAAAAUUAGAGUGUUUAAAGCAGGCAUUUUUGCUCGAAUACAUUAGCAUGGAAUAAUAGAAUAGGACGGCAUGGUUCUAUUUUGUUGGUUUCUAGGAUCACCGUAAUGAUUAAUAGGGAUAGUUGGGGGCAUUAGUAUUCAAUUGUCAGAGGUGAAAUUCUUGGAUUUAUUGAAGACUAACUACUGCGAAAGCAUUUGCCAAGGAUGUUUUCAUUAAUCAAGAACGAAAGUUAGGGGAUCGAAGACGAUCAGAUACCGUCGUAGUCUUAACCAUAAACUAUGCCGACUAGGAAUCAGACGAUGUUAAUUUUUUAAUGACUCGUUUGGCACCUUACGGGAAACCAAAGUGUUUGGGUUC